CUAGAGAGGGCACAUGUUCCUAAUUGGCCUAGAGCAUAGCGGCUCAUUAUCCUUCCACCGCUGGUGGUGGGCGGUACUCGCUGCUCUGUGAAGCCAGCCUCACGCAAUGUCCGCCACUUUAGGUGUUGGGAUGCAAAGGCUUUCGCAAAGGCACCUGAAACCCACUACACAACUUGGUAUGGGUGGUCCACAGUUUGUAGCACUAGACCCAGGCACAUGCACCAAAAUUAACAUCCACACUACCUUAUUGCCCCCGCUCGGGUUACAAGCAAUCGCUACUUGCUCAGCGAGUGAGGGGGUUCAGGACUGCCUAUUUAAGGUGUUGUUGUACUCUAUGCGCCGGCGGUGUGGUAUUUACCAACAACAAAUAGUGUCAUGCAUGAGAGUUGCUAGUUGGCAAAGUCUGUUGUCGAGCUAGCUGGGGGCUAUGCCAAAAGCACAUUAGGAUAGAAUAGUCCUAUUCUAUUUUUUGUUUUUUGGGCCAUUAUGGACUUUAUGUUGAUGUUGUACUAAUUUUCCAUGUGUUUCCUCUUGCCUAUGAAGUGGAAAGUGGGUGCGUUAGAGAAGAAAGAAAGAGUGGCUAGCAUUGAUUUUACAUCAUCCCCUUGAGAACAACAAUCAACAGCAGAAGCAACAAUAUUUCAUACAUAUACAACACUUACAAUCCAUAUAAACAACUUUCCUUCAAAAAAUAACAUAAACCACAUGAUUUAUAUACUGUGUCGGUCAUCUCCACAAAGGGCAAGGAAACACUCCUAGGUUUGUAGUAUAGAACUAAGAGUGUCUACUCUCACGAUGGUUUCCCAACAUAUGCAAACUAGACACUAAUCACAUAAAGUAAAUACAUAUGUGGUAACACAAGCUUAUAGCAUGUAUUUCAACCUAUAGAUUGUUGAUUAUUAUGGUAGAUUAUAUAAUAUAGGGGUUUCUGGAGAAAUACGUAAAAAACAAGAGAAUUAAAAUUUCCUUUUCAGAUUUGGCUAACUGGUAAAAGGAGUUGGAGUAUCUGAGUUUCCAAAUUUGGGACGUAGAUGUAUAGAUGGAAUAUAAAUACGUUAGAAAAAAAUUCUACAACGUAAGGUUUAACACAAGUAGGGCUAAAAAAAUAAAUGAGGCUUUGGUGGCAUGGUCAUAAAACUAGAGACAAGAAACACAAAGAAACCAAGGUAAUUAGUAUGAGAGUUUUCCAAAUUUGGUGUCAUGAUGUAGAAAAAAUAAAUAUAUGACAAACAUGUUUUUUGCAAGGCAUGGUAAAAUAAAUGGGAGUGAGAAAUAAAUUUAAUCCUAGAUUUAGAAGGAAUAAAUAUAUUACUAAAUACGUUUCACAAUGCCAAGUUAAGUAGGUGGGACCGAGAAAACAAUUCUAGCGAGGCUUGGUUGUACCAACCCGAACUAGAUACAAUAGAGGAAAAAUGAAGAAAAUGAUGGUCUACCAAAUAUGGCGCAUGAGCCUUAAGGUGGACCUAGAGGGAAGUAGAAGAAAUAAAUAUAUAACCGAAUAUGUUUUUCGCAAUGCGAGGUAAAGUGUUGAUGUGCUCUAACUGGGCUUAGAUUGCAGCGACAUGUUAUCCAUUGUAAGACCUCAAGAAUCCUAAUGUUAGAAUCUAGUAAAACUUCCUAAAGAAUUUGAAUUUGAAAUACCUUCUAGUAAUAAAUUUUCUUGCAUUAAAUUUACUUCUCCCAAAAUGAAUGUGUUGUCUAGUAAAAGAUAAAAUAAGAGGAACCUAAAUUAAUUAAGUCCUUCUUUACCAAUAUAUAUAUUUAAUUUAAAUUCUUCUAUAACAUAGGGAAUUCACUAGGAAGAACCUACCCUUGAAAAUACUAUUUUCUUUGUAUGUAUGAAUGGCAUAAAAAACACACACAUGCUUAUAUAGGAACAAUAAAUAUAUAAAUAAAUAAAAUAAUAAAAUAUUAUUGCACUACAUUCUGGUGUUUUGGCUUAGCAUUUGUCUCAAAUUAUAAACUUAGAUUUGAAUUCAACUUGGAUUUAAAACAAAAAGGAGGAAAGCAGGAAAUCGAAAAGAAAUAAGAAAAACAAAAUUUGCGCUGGGCCAAAUCCUGACCAUGGCUCGGCCCACCCAAGUCGCAUGGCCCGUUACCCCCCUCCGCCUUCUCCUUGUCUGCGGAAAUACAUUGAGUUGCUGAUAGCGGGGGCCCCCUGCUCAACCUCUCCUUCCUACCGCACUGGCCCACUUCUCCAAUGCAAAACACUGUCAAGUGGGUCCUGGUGUCCAGCGCCUACCUCCGCAUAUGGACAUAUGUGCCGCUGGCAUGGGGCCUAGGAUGUCAGCUUCAUCUUCCUAACAACCUAGGCCGCAGAUCGAGCGCGACCGCGCCCAAGUAGAUUCCUAUGCCCAACCUCGGAUCUUCCCCAUGGGCGUCCUCGCGAGGCUAUAUAUCUAUCCGCCGCGGCAUCCCCUUCACCCAUCCUUUGGUGCCAGCACCUGUACCCCAUGCCCCGUCGCUGGCGCAGGGAGCUUUGGAAUCCGCUGCAAGUCGUACUCACCUCCCCGUCGAAUCAACCUUGAUUCUUAGCCACGAGUGAAAGUCGAGGAACUCUGGGAUCUCGUGCACCGACCGGCCGAACCUGAAAUCAUUUUGUGCGCAAGGAAUUGCUCGUCGAAGCUCUGUCUCUGCCGCCAAGUCGCUUCUCACCGGGGACACCACUGCUAACGCCCAAAUUUGUGGUAAGAAACCAUCUCUGUUCCUCGUCGUCAUCCUCUUUAUGUGUAGAAUCCCUCGGUAUUCGAUAUGUGGUCCCCAGGCGGCCGACCCAUUGCUCGCCAGCGAGUGCGCCACCGCGGUGGUGCCCGGCGCCGCUGUACUCGGGUUCGAGGGAGAAGGGGUUUGUCGUGGACCGUUGAUCCCUAUAGGAGCGGUCGGGAUUAGAUUUUGGAUACCGCUUUAGGCGAUAGGAUCUGUGUCGUUAAUCUAAAGAGGGACACCUCAGAUUAGUUGUGGCGCGUACCCCUUUAGUGGUUAAAUCGGGACCCUCGAUCUUAUGGCGAGUGGUUCGGAUUAGCUUAUGGCGUGGUCACCGAUCGGACCGCGGAUCCUGAAUCCAAGGGCCCAAAAUAGAUAAUGGUUUGGUUGAAGGGUGCGUCUAAUCUGGGCCGCCAGUGUUCGAUCGGACGAUGGAAAUAUCGUGAUACAGAUCGACCCGUCUGUUUUGCAAAAGACCCCUCUGGGAUUUCAGAAAAUAACCCGUCGUCCGGGGCUGUGGAAGAGUCUUGCGGAUUAGUCCUGAACUUUACAAAUCAAACCCCGAGCUUCCUAGAAAUAGUAAUAGCAGUCCAGGAAACAUUAAAAUACCCAAGAUAAAUCUAGAAAAUAGUUUUCAAUGUAAGAAUAAGUAUAAAAUCUUAGGAAAAUCAUAACUUUAUGAAUAUGUCUCCAAAUUGACGCGUUCCAGUUGCAUUAGAUCCAUAAUAAUAUUGUUUAUCCCUUGGUAACUUUAUUUUGUUAUGAAACCUAAAUUGAAACUAUGUACUUAAUUUCUUUUGUACCUGACUCCUAAAUCUUUAGAAAAUCAUAACUUUAUAACCGUAACUCCGAAUUUAGUGGUUCUCGAGCCCACGAUCUCGUAGAAACAUGUAAAUUAUUAUUAUGCAGUUUGUUCUGAUGUUUGGUAUGAUGUUAAUUUUGCAUAUACCCUUUUUGUUGAAUUGCUACGAAUAACAGUGAGGUCACGAGAAUUUGAAGAUCAUCCUGGUACCUGGAAUCUCGAGUCCUAAGCAAAUUGUGCCCUUGAUCACUCUUUUUUACCUAAUAAUGUUCGCGUUAAUCACUGUGACAUGGUCAGGUUAAUUUGAUGGGACCUAAUAGGUUUACCUAACAUUAUUUAUCCCCACCUUGCAAACAGAUGAAUUAUUGGGUAGAGUAGCUAUUGCUCUACCUGGUUUUGGGAAACUAAUGUUUUAUUAUGAUCAUGUUCCAAUUUUGUUGUUAUUUAAUUAUUGUUCAUGAUAAGAUCAUAUUGUUAAUUGGAACAUGGAGCGACCACCCGGGAAAACAGUGCUACCACAAUGGUGGUAUGGGACGUGCUUGGCGGACUAAUUAGGAAGGUAUUGGAGGACUACCUUACCCGAAAGGGGCAAGGGCAGUAGGGGAGUGGUCGGUAUAGUGAGGUUAUCGGGCUGAUUUUGUUGCGAUGGAUUUUCAGACGGGGAUUCCUAUGCUUCGCUCGCUAGAAACUAUAGCAGGGUUUCUGAAGCUAGUGGAACUUUGUAAAGGCCUUGUAGUGGUACCCUGCCUUGCUUCCUUGGUAGAGGUGUAUGGGGUAUGAUCAACCCUGUGUCAAAUGGAUAACACGACUUCUGGGUAAAGAUGUGUAACCUCUACAGAGUGUAAAACUAGUAUAUCAGUCGUGCUCACGAUCAUGAGCAGCUCGGACCCUCACAUGAUUAACUUAUGGAAUUAAACUCAAUUUGUCAUUUGCAUUGCAUUGUGGGUGUUGUUAUUAAUCUUGAUCUCUUAUUUAAUUGGGUUGGUAUCUACUUACACUUAGUAGCUGCUAAUAAAAUUUUGACCGACUUUAAAAGCAAUGCCCAGCUUUAACCAUCCUCUUUGGUAAGCCUUACACUUCACAUGGGCUCCCACAUUUGGUUAGUUCAUGCACAUUAUUCCCCACAACUUGUUGAGCGAUAAACGUAUGUGAGCUCACCCUUGCUGUACUCACAUCCCCUAGGUCAAGAACAGGUACCACAGGAUGAGGCGCAUGGAGGAUGAUGUGAUGAGAUCGUGAGAGGUCUAGGCCGUCGUCUCCCAGUCAACUUUGGUUGCUGGAUCGUUGUUGACUGGAUCGUUGUCUUCAUAUGAUGUAAUUAUUUAACUAUUUUGUUUAGAACUUCUAUUAUAUAGUAAAGAUGUGACAUUCAUUUCUGUACCAUGAGUCAUCAUAUGUGUGAGACUUGGUCCUAGCACACUUGGUGAUUAUUUCAUGCCCGAGUUUUGGACCCCUAGAAUCCGGGUGUGACAUCCAUCCACAAGGCUUGGUUGCACACGGAAAAAGAUAGAGAGAGAAAUGUAGACGCAGGACUAGGAGAAAAAACAUUCAAUGAGGCGUGAUUGCACAAACAUAGAACUAGUUAAAGAAAAAUAAAGGGACUAAAUUUUCUUUUGCACACUUAGCAUGAAUGGAGUUGUAGUAUCUGAGAUCCCAAUUUUAAUUUUAUCCAAGAUGUAGAACAAAGUUGCGAGACUCAUCAUGGUUAUGUAGGGACAAAAGUAGAUAAGAAAAAUAGCAAAAAGAUAGUGGUCUACCAGAGAGGGUAUGUGUGCCCUAAUUGGCCUAGAGCUUAGUGGUUCAUUAUCCGUCCACCGCUGCUAGUUGACAAAGUUUGUUGUCGAGCUAGGUGGGCUAUGGUUGAAGCACAUUAGGAUAGAGUAGACCUAUUCUGUUUUUUUUGUUGUUUUUGGGACAUUAUAAACUUGAUGUUGUGAAUUUUUUUUCAUGUGUUUCCUCUUGCCUACGAAGUGGAAGGUGGGAGCGUUAGAGAAGAAAGAAAGAGUGGCCAGCAUUGAUUUUACAUCAUCCCCUUGAGAACACUAAUCAAAAGCAGAAGCAACAAUAUUUCAUACAUAUACAACACUUGUAAUCCAUAUAAACAACUUUCCUUCAAAAAAUAAUAUAAAGCACAUGAUUUAUAUCCUGUGUCGGUCAACUCCACAAAGGGCAAGAAAACACUCUUAGGUUUGUAGUAUAGAACUAAGAGUGUCUACUCUCACGAUUUCUUCCCAACAUUUGCAAACUACACAUUAAUCACAUAAAAUAAAGACAUAUGUGGUAACACGAACUUAUAUGAUGUACUUCAACCUAUAGAUUUUUUUAUUAUUAUGGCAGAUUAUAUAAUACAUGGGUGCCCGAGGAAAUACGUAAAAAGCAAGAGCAUUAGAUUUUCCUUUUCAGAUUUGGCUAACUGGAAAAAGGAGUUGGAGUAUCUGAGUUUCUAAAUUUGGCACGUAGAUGUAAAGAAGGAAUAUAAAUACGUUGGGAAAACAUUCUACAAGGCAAGGUUUAACACAAGUAGGGCUAAGAAAAAAUCAAUGAGGCUUUGGUCGCAUGGUCACAAAACUUGAGACAAGAAACAUGAAGAAACCAAGGUAAUUAGUAUGAGAGUUUUCCAAAUUUGGUGUAUUGAUGUAGAAAAAAUAAAUAUAUGACAAACAUGUUUUUCUACAAGGCAUUGUAAAAUAAGUGGGAGUGAGUAAUAAAUUUCAUCAUAGAUUUAGAAGGAAGAAAUAUAUCACUAAAUACGUUCUUUCAUAAUGCCAAGUUAAGCAGGUGGGGCCGAGAAAACAAUUCUUGCGAGGCUUGGUUGUACUAGCCCCAAACUAGAUACAACAGAGGAAAAAUGAAAAAAUGUUGGUCUACCAAAUAUGGCGCAUGAACCUUAAGGUGGACCUAGAGGAAAGUAGAAGAAAUAAAUAUAUAACUGAAUAUGUUUUUCGCAAUGCAAGGUAAAGUGUAGAUGCACUCUAACUAGGCUUAAAUUGCAGCGACACGUUAUCCAUCCACAAGGCUUGGUUGCAGAUAGAAAAAAGGUAAAGAGAAAAAUGUAGACGCGGGAUCGGUUGAAAAACAUUCAAUGAGGCGUGAUUGCACGGAAAUAGAACUAGAUAGAAGAAAAGAGUUAAAGAAAAUUGGAGAAAAACAUACUAAGCAUGAAUGGAGUUGUAGUAUCUGAGAAUAAAGGGACUAAAUUUUCUUUUGCACACUUACCAUGAAUGGAGCUGUAGUAUCUGAGAUCUGAAUUUUAAUUUAUUCCAAGAUGCAGAACAAAGUUGCGAGACUCGUAAUGGUUACAUAGGAACAAAAGUAGAUAAGAAAAAUAGCAAAAAGAUAGUGGUCUACCAGAGAGGGCACAUGUGCCCUAAUUGGCCUACAACAUAGCGGCUCAUUAUCCUUCCACCGUUGGUGGCGGGUGGUAUUCGCUGCUCUAUGAAGUCAGCCUCAUGCAAUGUCCGCCACUUUAGGUGUUGGGAUGCAAACGCUUUUGCCAAGGCACACGAAACCCACGACAGAACUUGGAAUAGGUGGUCCACAUUUUGUAGCACUAGACCCAGGCUCAUGCACCACAAUUGACAUCCACACUACUUUAUUGCCCCCUCUCAGGUUACAAGCAAUCGCUACUUGCUCAACGAGUGAGGGGGUUCAGGACUGCCUAUUUAAGGUUGUUUUGUACUCUAUGAGCCGGUGUUGUGGUAUUUACCAACAACAAAUAGUGUCAUGCAUGUGAGUUGCUAGCUGGCAAAGUCUGUAGUCGAGCUAGAUGUGAGCUAUGGCAAAAGCACAUUAGAAUAGAAUAGUCCAAUUCUAUUUUUUGUUGUUUUUGGGCCAUUAUGGACUUUAUGUUGAUGUUGUCUAACUUUUCAUGUGUUUCGUCUUGCCUAUGAAUUGGAAAGUGGGUGCGUCAGAGAAGAAACAAAGAGUGGCUAGCAUUGAUUUUAUGUCAUCCCCUUGACAACAGUAAUCAAAAGCAGAAGCAACAAUAUUUCAUACAUAUACAACACUUAUAAUCUAUAUAAACAACUUUCCUUCAAAAAAUAAUAUAAACCACAUGAUUUAUAUCUUGUGUCAGUCAUCUCCACAAAGGGAAAGGAAACACUCCUAGGUUUGUAGUAUAGAACUAAGAGUGUCUACUCUCACGAUUUUUUCCCAACAUAUCCAAACUAGAAUGUGUGGUACCAUGAACUUAUAUCAUGUAUUUCAACCUAUAGAUUGUUGAUUAUUAUGGUAGAUUAUAUAAUAUAGGGGUUCCUGGAGAAAUAUGUAAAAACAAGAGAAUUAAAAUUUCCUUUUCAGAUUUGGCUAACUGGUAAAAGGAGUUACCUGAGUUUCCAAAUUUGGGACGUAGAUUUAUAGAAGGAAUAUAAAUACGUUGGAAAAAAAUUCUACAACUUAAGGUUUAACACAAGUAGGGCUAAGAAAAAAUAAAUGAGCCUUUGGUCGCAUGGUCGUAAAACUAGAGACAAGAAACACAAAGAAACCAAGGUAAUUAGUAUGAGAGUUUUCCAAUGUAGUAAAAAUAAAUAUAUGAUAAACAUGUUUUUUUGCAAGGCAUGGUAAAAUAAGUGGGAGUGAGCAAUAAAUUUCAUCCUAGAUUUAGACAGAAUAAAUAUAUCACUAAAUAUGUUUCACAAUGCCAAGUUAAGUAGGUGGGACCGAGAAAACAAUUCUAGUGAGGCUUGGUUGUACCAGCCCAGAACUAGAUACAACAGAGGAAAAAUGAAAAAAUGAUGGUCUACCAAUUAUGGCGCAUGAGCCUUAAGGUAGACCUAGAGGGAACUAUAAGAAAUAAAUAUAUAACUGAAUAUGUUUUUCGCAAUGCAAGGUAAAGUGUUGAUGUGCUCUAACUGGGCUUAGAUUGCAACGGCAAGUUAUCCAUCCACAAGGUUUGGUUUCACAUGGAAAACAAUGGAGAGAGAAAUGUAGAUGCAGGACUAGGAGAAAAAACCUUCAAUGAGGCGUGAUUGCACAGACAUAGAACUAGAUAGAAGUAAAGAGUUAAAGAAAAAUAAAGGGACUAAAUUUUAUUUAGCACACUUAGCAUGAAUGGAGUUGUGGUAUCUGAUAUCCCAAAUUUAAUUUGUUCCAAGAUGCGGAAGAAAUUGCAAGACUCGUAAUGGUUACAUAGGGACAAAAGUAGAUAAGAAAAAAUAGCAAAAAGAUAGUGGUCUAUGAAAGAGGGCACUUGUGCCCUAAUUGGCCUAGAGCAUAGCGGCUCAUUAUCCUUCCAUCGCUGGUGGCGGGCGGUACUCGCUUCUCAGUGAAGCCAGCCUCACACAAUGUCCAUCAUGAUACGACCACGCCAUUAAGCAACAUGUUACAACCCCUAAGGCAUACUACAUCAACUCAAGUACAACCAAUAUCAUCACCAACCCAAGCCUUUGAUGGACCAAUUACACGUAGCCGAGCUAAGAAGCUACAGCAAGAGGUUCGCCAAAGAGGAAGGACAAAACAUAUCAAAGGCGAAUCAGCAAGAAGAGCUAUGUCUGAGUCAGUCUAGCGCUAUAGAACUGUCCAGAAGAAACAGUCAUAUCUUUUGAUUCCCAAAAGCUAUGAAGGCCCAUAAGUACUUUUUAGAAAGCUCUUGAAGUCUAGUUUCCUAUACUUCUAAGGCCGACUUAAUCAAAUCUACCAAGAAGGCAGCCGACCUACUUUAGUGCUGACUGGUCAGAAGGUCAACAGUCUGUUUGAUGACCAAGUUUCAUAUUAAACUGCAUCAUUCUACGAAGUUUCAUUAAGCAUGCUAUACAUGGUGAGAAAGCUUAUCAAGUCAGCUUUCCAACGCAUCCAGCCCCACUGCAUCAUUCUACGAAGUUUCAUGAAGCAUGCUAAACUGCAUCAUUCUAUGAAGUUUCAGUCCUUAGAGUCUUUGUUUAGUUGCUGGUCACUCUAUCCUUUGUGUUCCCUUUGAGCCUCUUAUAAAUAUCUAAAAAUAUCCACAAAAAGAAAAAUAUGAAAACCCUCAUCAUUUCCUUCGUGUUAACUUUGAUCCUAUAUAAGUUAUAGCUGCUGGUUGAGUUCUUUGUUAAGUAUUAUAAAGUGUGCAAUAUCAUAUGAGAUCUCUGUGUUUAGUUCUAUAAAAAGAGUAUCAAAAAAAGAGAAGAAAGAAAAGUACCAAAAAAGUGUUGAACAAGAUUGUGAAAAGUAGAACAAUCAGUUUGUUUAUGUGCACAAGUGCUGAAAGUUCAUCAAGUUGUUCAACCAGUUUGCUAUUGUCAUUUGAUGCAAAAUUUUGGUUGAAUCUGAUUGCAACACUUGCAUUCCAAUCAUACUCCUUGUCUGCAUCAAAUCUGAAAUUUCUUGCGCGUGUGUUUGAUCUAUUUACAUCACUCGUAUCUUGUGGUCAGCACUAAGCAGGGAACUUCUAGUUGGAUGGUUAUUUAACUUUACAACAACUAGGAUUCAGAUUGCAUCCCUUGUUUAUUAUUCCCCACCAAGCUCCACAUAUAAGCCAUCGUAAUCGGUACUCUGGUCUUGUAUUCGCUUAACCACCACUUUCUUGUUACUGCCACACAUUUUCUUGCAACCCGCAGCGAACUCAUAAGAGCCUUGGUUGGUAAGAGUGGUCAGGUUGUGAGAUUCUAUAUAGCUUCAUAUUCCACCUAUAUUUGUUGCCUUGUCGCCACUAAUUUCGCAGGAAGAUGGAUCCCAACGUUGAGAUUGAAGAAUGUGUCACCAUGAUACAAUUCAAUGAGCUCAAACAAAGCAUAGAAGCCAAGCAAGAUCUGUUGGCACAAGAUCUUCAGACACUUAUGGCUGAAAUCAGAGGUCGUCGUUGACUCAUUGACGGUGUAAGAAACCAUGAUGAAGAUGGGGAAGAAGGUGAAGGAAAUUAUUCUAGAAGGGCAAGUGAACAUGGGAGGAGAAAUCAAGGUGCUGCACGUGGUAGAGGAAGAGGUCAGAAUCGAAGAAAUGAUGACAAUGAGGAAUCUGAAUUUGGGAAUGAUGAUGAUCAGUCCCAACAUCGCUAUGGUCGUCGUCAUCAUAGAGGCGUCAACCAAGAAGAGAGAUUUGGGAAACUUAAGUUUACCAUGCCAAAAUUUGAUGGUAGAUCUGAUCCUGAAGAUUAUUUCACAUGGGAAUUGAAGGUGGAGAAAAUCUUCCGCCUACAUAAUUAUUCAGAGGAGAAGAAACUUGCAAUGGCAUCUCUUGAGUUUGAAGGAUAUGCCCUGAUUUGGUGGGAGCAACUUCUUCGUGAUCGUGGAGAUGGAGAGGACCCUAUUAUUACUUGGCAAGAGAUGAAGCGAGAAAUGAGAAUUCAUUUUAUGCCGAAGCAUUAUCGGAGUGAUCUUUUUGAUAAAUUGCAGAAUUUGAGGCAAGGAAGUUUCUCUGUUGAGGAGUAUUAUAAGGAGAUGGAGAAGGCCAUGAUUAGAGCCAAUGUGUAUGAAGACGAAGAGCAAACCAUUGCACGUUUCAUGGCUGGGUUACACCGCAACAUUCAGCGUAUUGUUGAGUUUCAGCCGUACCAAAGUCUUAUUGAUUUAGUACAUCAAGCCACCAAAGCUGAACGCCAGCUGCAACAAGAUGCUAAGAGCAGCAAGCCCUUGUCAUAUGGUGCACGAACCAUGACUGGAGGAAGCAAAUCGAUCUCAAGGUUUACUGCUGCAUCCUCAGCGACAAAAGGUUCAAUUGGAGGCUUGCGAUCCAAUAUUCAAGGCAAUUGUAGUGGAAAGAAUGGUGCUGCUCCAAACACGAGUUAUAAACCAGCAACAUCCACUUCAACAUCAGUGGGUUCAACAGCCAAGAGUAGUGGUAUUCAGUGCUUCAAGUGUGGAGGUCGUGGUCAUGUCAUAAAGGAGUGUCUAAAUAAUCGUGUGAUCCUUGUGACUGAUGAUGGAGAAUAUACAUCAGCUAGUGAAGAGGAAGCUGAAGCAGGAAAUGAAGAUGACAUUGAUAAAUCUGAAGAACAUACGUAAGUAAAGUAAGAAGUUUUCAUGGUCUUACUGGUUUUUAUAGAAGAUUUGUGUGAGAUUUCAGUACCAUCGCUUCUCCUUUAAAUGAAUUGACAAAGAAAGGUGUUGAAUUUAAAUGGGGAAACUCACAAGAAGAUGCUUUUCAAGAAUUGAAGAAACGUUUGACUGAAGCACCUGUACUUAUUCUUCCUGAUUUCACUAAAACUUUUGAAGUAGAAUGUGAUGCUAGUGGGAUUGGGAUAAAAGGAGUUUUAAUGCAACAAGGAAAACCUAUAGCAUAUUUUAGUGAAAAAUUGGGAGGUGCUCAAUUAAAUUAUUCUGUGUAUGACAAAGAAUUAUAUGCUUUGGUUCGAGCGCUUGAAACAUGAUAGCACUACUUAUGGCCAAAAGAGUUUGUUAUUCAUUCCGAUCAUGAAGCUUUGAAGUAUUUGAAAGGGCAAGCCAAACUGAACCGUCGCCAUGCCAAAUGGGUUGAGUUUAUCGAAACAUUUCCAUACAUUGUGAAAUAUAAGAAAGGUAAGGACAAUGUGGUCGCUGAUGCCUUGUCUCGAAGGAAUGUGUUGUUGAAUCAACUAGAGGUAAAAGUUUUGGGUCUUGAAAAUUUGAAAGAAAUGUAUAAUGAUGAUCCUGAAUUUUCAGAACCAUACAAUCAUUGUAAAGAUGGAAAAGGUUGGGAAAAAUAUCAUAUACAUGAUGGAUUUUUGUUUAGAGCUAACAAACUUUGUGUACCAAAUUCUUCGGUUAUAUUGCUUUUAUUGCAGGAGUCACAUGGAGGCGGUCUAACAGGUCAUUUUGGACAAAAGAAGACUUAUGAAUUGCUUAGUGAUCAUUUCUAUUGGCCCAAGAUGAGGAGAGACGUCAUCAUAUUUGUGGAGCGUUGUGUCACCUGUCACAAAGCUAAGUCAAAAUUGAACCCUCAUGGUUUAUAUACUCCUUUACCCGCUUCUAAAAUUCCUUGGGAAGACAUAAGCAUGGAUUUUGUUUUAGGACUGCCGAUGACUCGAAAAAAGAGAGAUUCUAUUUUUGUUGUGGUUGAUAGAUUUUAAAAAAUGGCUCAUUUUAUCCCAUGCAACAAGAGCGACGAUGCUUCACAUGUUGCCAAUUUGUUUUUCAGAGAAAUCUUGAGGCUACAUGGAGUGCCCAAGACCAUCGUAUCUGACCGUGAUGUGAAGUUUGUGAGCUAUUUUUGGAAAACAUUAUGGGCAAAGCUUGGGACUAAACUUUUGUUCUCUACAACAUGCCACCCCCAAACUUAUGGACAAACUGAAGUGGUGAAUCGUACAUUGUCAAAGCUGCUGCGAACAAUGGUAAAGAAGAACUUGAAGGAUUGGGAGGAAUGUUUGCGACACGUGGAGUUUGCUUAUAACAGAACAGUACAUUCUACAACUAAUUUAUGCCCCUUCGAAGUUGUAUAUGGGUUCAAACCUAUUGCUCCGAUAGAUUUGUUGCUCCUUCCAUUGCAGGAAAGAACCAAUAUGGAAGCUUCCGAGCGUGCUGCAUACAUAAAAAAGAUACAUGAGAAGACUAAGGAAGCAAUUGAGCUCAAAGCAGUGCGCAAGGCUACAAGCAUGAACAAGCAUAGGAAGAAAGUGUUAUUUGAACUGGGGGACUUGGUUUGGAUUCACUUGCGCAAGGAGCGUUUUCUUGAGCAGUGCAAAUCCAAAUUGAUGCCAUGGGGGGAUGGUCCAUUUCGUGUUCUUGCCAAAAUCAAUGAUAAUGCAUACAAGAUACAUCUUCCACCAAGCUAUGGCGUGAGCAACACAUUCAAUGUUGCUGACCUCUUACCAUAUACAAGUGAAGACACUUUAGAGUCGAGGACGACUCCUUUUCAAGGGGAGGAGGAUGAUACGACCACGCCAUUAAGCAACACGUUACAACCCCCAAGGCAUACUACAUCAACUCAAGUACAACCAACAUCAUCAUCAACCCAAGUCUUUGAUGGACCAAUUACACGUAGCCAAGCUAAGAAGGUACAACAAGAGGUUCACCAAAGAGGAAGGACAAAACAUAUCAAAGACAAAUCAACAAGAACAGCUAUGUCCGAGUCAGUCUAGCGCUACAGAACUAUCCAGAAGAAACAGUCAUAUCUUUUGAUUCCCAAAAGCUAUGAAGGCCCAUAAGUACUUUUUGGAAAGCUCUUGAAGUCUAGCUUCCAAUGCUUCUAAGGCCGACUUAAUCAAAUAUACCAGGAAGGCAGCCGACCUACUUUAGUGCUGACUGGUCAGAAGGUCAACACUCUGUUUGAUGACCAAGUUUUCGUAUUAAACUGCAUCAUUCUACGAAGUUUCAUUAAGCAUGCUAUACAUGGUGAGAAAGCUUAUCAAGUCAGCUUUCCAACGCAUCCAGCCCCACGUCAUUUGAAGAUUCCUAGAAGAAGUUAUUGUCAAAAUACAUUAGCACGUGAAAAUACUUUUGUUUCGUGUUUAUACCUUGCUAAGGCUGGUUGUUACUAGUAUAAAUACCCCCCUAUGUCUAUGAUGUAAGGCAGCUUUUGAUAAUCUAAAACAGAACCCCCUUUGUUCAGCUGUGUGCUAACAAAUAUUGAGAGUGAUCUCUAUCCCUUUGCUCUUGUGAAUUCCUUCGCGGGAUUGCAGAAGCGGCGGCUUCAUCCGCUCUCAAGUGGUGCUCCUACUCCCUUCGAGGUCUCCUCGAUUGAUUGUAGGUUGUGUUGGUUGGUUCUUUGAGAGUGUGGUUGGGCGAAUCCUCGAUUCAGGCUGCCGGUUAAAGACGGCGGUUGGCUUCGAGUUUUAUUUGUCAGGUUGCACUAGUUAUCGCUGCUUGCAGCAAGUUAUCUUGGCUUCUUUGAAGCUAGUUAUCUGAAGAUUGAUCCUACGUCGUGAAGAUCGGGCAUCGUGACGCAUCACACCACUUUAGGUGUUGGGAUGCAAAGGCUUUCGCCAAGGCACCCGAAAGCCACUACACAACUUUGAAUGGGUGGUCCACAGUUUGUAGGACUAGACCCAGGCACAUGCUCCACAAUUGACAUC
rnacentral:lncRNA from 1 species